rnacentral:rRNA from 1 species
AUUGAACGCUGGCGGCAUGCCUUACACAUGCAAGUCGAACGGUAACGGGCCUUCGGGUGCCGACGGGUGGCGAACGGGUGAGUAAUACAUCGGAACGUGCCCGAUCGUGGGGGAUAACGAGGCGAAAGCUUUGCUAAUACCGCAUACGAUCUACGGAUGAAAGCAGGGGACCGCAAGGCCUUGCGCGGACGGAGCGGCCGAUGGCAGAUUAGGUAGUUGGUGGGAUAAAAGCUUACCAAGCCGACGAUCUGUAGCUGGUCUGAGAGGAUGAUCAGCCACACUGGGACUGAGACACGGCCCAGACUCCUACGGGAGGCAGCAGUGGGGAAUUUUGGACAAAGGGCGCAAGCCUGAUCCAGCCAUGCCGCGUGCAGGAUGAAGGCCUUCGGGUUGUAAACUGCUUUUGUACGGAACGAAAAGCCUUCUUUUAAUACAGGAGGGUCAUGACGGUACCGUAAGAAUAAGCACCGGCUAACUACGUG